UGAUGGUAAGCACUCGCAAUUGUUUGUU
rnacentral:sRNA from 1 species